GAGAAUUCCUAUGAAUAAUAAAUAAAGCAAAUAAUAAAAGCCAUAUUCCACAAAAACAAAUUCUAUGAAGAAAUAGGGAAAAAGAGAAUUCAAGAGGCCCAUAAGUGUCAAAAUAAAGAUAAAGACGACUGCGCCAACUUGAUAUUUUGGUAUUAUCGCCACAAAGAAGAGCUUUCAGAUUUUCCAGAGAAGAUGGGAUC
rnacentral:lncRNA from 1 species